UCUCAUUUUUGCUUUUAUUACAAUCAUCAAAUUAUAAUUAAAAUAUACCAACUCUAUAUUUCUCCUGUAUUGAAUAUGUAUAAUUCAUCUAUGAUACUCGAGACGAAAGAACUUUAGAUAUAUUUUAUGAUUCCAUAUUGAAUAAUUGCUUUUGACGUAAGAAUUUAAUACGACUGUGUUCCUUAGAGAUUAGAAAGCUUGAUGAAAAUUGCAGAAAACAGGUUCCUGGACGAGAAUAUAUAUACGUAAUCUAUUUCUCACCUCCGUAGCAAUGUACGCUUCUUCAGCAGUACAUUCCGCCUUGCUCGUUGGAUUACUCAGAGCGAAGAUGAUGGGGGUUUCGUUGUUUCGUGCCAUCUCCCUCAAUAUUUCCUCCGUGAAAGCACCCCGGACAGCAGCUGCGCCGAUGAGAACCGACGGUUUGGCAGCCUUGACAACGUCCAACAGGGUGUCGAUUGGUUGAUCGUCACGAGCAAAAUGCAAUUUAUGCUCCGUCAGUCCGCCCUUUGGACGAUCUUUCACCAGGAGUCCUUUAGAGUCCACCAUCCAGAUUUUACUCUUAGCUUCCUCCUCGGUCACUCCUUCCUUCAGCAUCGCCAUGACGCACAAUGCUGCAAUACCUAAUGACGCCUGCGAAUAGUUUGUUUAUGACUCACACAUAUUUCUCUCGAUUCAUUUUAUAAUGACUUAAAAAAAAGACUUGCACGCGCACCUCUCCGGCACCCUGAAACACGAUCGUGUUCUCCGAGAGUUUUGUUUGCGUGACACGGAGCGACGCCAAUAAUCCAGCGACUGCGACAGAAGCGGUGCCCUGGAUAUCGUCGUUGAAGGUACAAUAAUCAUUGCGAUAUUUCUGGAGCAGUCUGAACGCGUUAGCGUUCCCAAAGUCCUCGAACUGGAUCAACGUGUUUGGACCGUAUCGUCUCACGACAGACUCCAUGAAUUCGUCCAGGAAGUCGUCGUAUUCUUGUCCGGUGACGCGUCUGUGUCUAUGACCAAUAUACAGAGGAUCGUCCAGUAACGACUGCAAAAAAAGGGAAUGCAUUUUUUAAAUGAAAAAUCACAAAGAGAGUCAUUGAUGAAGGACAACCAGAUGAAGAGUCGUCUGGUGUUAAAAAGUGAGCGUAUUUUCGCGCACCUGAGUAUUAGUACCAACGUCCAGGGUAAUAGGCAGACACUGAUGAGGUUUGAUGCCAGCCAAUGCGGUGUACAAUGACAGUUUCCCAAUUGGGAUACCCAUCCCAUGUGCACCCAGAUCACCCAAUCCCAGUAUUCUCUCGCCGUCCGUGACGACGAUCGCUCGUAUGUCGUGUUCGGGCCAGUUUUUCAGAACAUCGUAGACGUGACCUCGAUCGUGGAUGCUCACGAAGAGACCACGGGGCCUGCGAUAGAUCAGACCGAACUUCUGACAGGCUAGACCUACAGUUGGCGUGUACACCAGGGGCAUCAUUUUACCUACGUCCUCUGCCAACAAACGGUAGAAGAGUUUCUCGUUUCUGUCCUAGGAGGAACAAGACUCUAUGUAAGAAUCAACGUGAGAGAAGUGUACAAGAAGGAAAGCCUGAUUAAGCCGAAGACCGGGAGAUCCAUAAUAGAUCUCCGAUCCGAAGCGGUACAGUCGCCGCGUUUGUUUCAUCGCAUCGACUCUGGCCGCAAUUAAAAGGAUGUGCUGAUUAUGCAACUAGCGUGGGUGAAAGGUGAUCUGCUGAUCGUGGUGCUACCUCGAUUUUUGCCAACUGGAUUGGCCAAUGUGCAUGCGUGUGUCACGAUAGAAUCCAGUGAAGAUGGAAAUUAUUUAGGUACCUAUAUAUGUACACGAAAGAUAGAGAACCUCGUAUGAUCUACAUUCACUUGCAAGGAUACUAACUUUCAAAAUGCCUGUGGCAACAUCAUAGUUACACAUCUAAUCGAAUCUUGCACAGAUGAUGUUAUGCUAGAAUAAAUUGAAUUUUGCAAAA